AGGCAGCCUACUUGCUAAGAUUAAAUGGCAUGAAAGGUGUUUAACUACUCGUAAAUCAAAUGCUUUUGCUCUUCAGAUUUGCUGAGAUUUUUUCUCUGAAGCUGGUCUAGUAAGCUCAAGUACAUU
rnacentral:snoRNA from 1 species